CAGCCGCCGCGGUAAUACGUAGGUGGCAAGCGUUGUCCGGAAUUAUUGGGCGUAAAGCGCGCGCAGGUGGUUCCUUAAGUCUGAUGUGAAAGCCCACGGCUCAACCGUGGAGGGUCAUUGGAAACUGGGGGACUUGAGUGCAGAAGAGGAAAGUGGAAUUCCAAGUGUAGCGGUGAAAUGCGUAGAUAUUUGGAGGAACACCAGUGGCGAAGGCGACUUUCUGGUCUGUAACUGACACUGAGGCGCGAAAGCGUGGGGAGCAAACAGGAUUAGAUACCCCCGUAGUCCCUGUCUCUUAUAC
rnacentral:rRNA from 1 species